UCCGCUCUGCGCUGCCACCCCGAUGACCGUGCCCAACCACCCGAUUCCGCGCCUCUCGCCGGGAACCGCCGACGACGAGGGCCACGCCGGCGAUCUCCCCUCAGCCCGCCCGCCUCCUCUUUCCUCUCUGUUCUCCUCCUCUCUCCGCCUCAUGUUCAGCAGCGACCGCCCAAACUCGCCCCGAUCCAUGGCCAUCUCCUUCCGCCCAGCACCAGUCCGUCAUCGGUCGUCCGUGGCACGAGCGCGCGCCUCCUCUUCAACCUCCUCAUCCCGCUCCACUCCUCCUGGACUGCCCACGUGCGCCUCCCGAGCCCCCAUGGACGCCUUCUACGGAGCCGCGGUAUUGACGGUUGACCGCCGCCAUGACCGGCCUGGUUCUUAUUUGUCUCUUCUUUGGAUGAACUUUCUGAACACAAUCUGAAGCUUCCAAGAAGCAAAUUCCAUACUCUACUACUGACUUGCUUUCCGGUGUUCUGGUGAGAGAAAAUUUAGAAGCCAAGUUGUGCUAUAGGACAUAGAUAUAAUAUGCCAAGGAGCUAAAAAGGCGCUUGUUUUAUGAGUGCUCAGGCUCUGGUCUGACUUGUGCGGGCAAAGUUGAAAAAUGGUCGUAUGAGCUGAGUCACAAGGAACAAAGGAGUUCUUCAGUGAACUGAGGGAGCAUUCGACAUGUAUCGUGUAUGUGUACACGCACAUUUAGAUGGAAUGUGCUUAUGUUCUAGGGAAACAUUGUUUGUGCUUUAUUUGAUAUCAAAGAAAUAUUGGCAGGUUCCUACGCUUCCAUCAUUAGGGUUAAGACAUAUUUACUGAAAUUUUUCUAGAGCUAUUCCCAUAGCCCUUACAAUGAAUUCUAGAAGCUAUGUAUUUUAGGAAAGAUCCAUCAACGGCGAGGUACCUGAGUCUGAUGCAAUUUAGGAGAAGCUGAUGCCUAACAAGUACACCACAACAAACGUCCAAGUGAUUCUCCUGACCACGGCGGGGUACCCAGGUCCAAUGUGAUUAAGAGGUGCACACGACAGUAGCAGAGUUGAUCAGCUCCAAGCAGCUUUGCAAUCGUAUACAUAUGUUCUCACCACAAUUAACUACACGUAGGCUCUCUCUCCCUCCUCUCCAGAGAAUUUGACAAAUGUUGUUAUGAAGGCAUUUUGUUCUUCUCAUCGAUUCUAGAAUAGAUAAACAUGUACUAUGUGUUUCAUAUGAACUGUUAAGAACCCAACAACAUAUGGUUAUUUCAUCAAUCUUAUCAACUUUUAGUUAAUGAAAUUAUCUAUUGAUUGUAGUAUUACGUUUGCAUGUGUUUUCGGCUAAAAGAAAGGAAAAAAAGGAACAACAUACAUUUCUGCAUUGCUUCAUCCUUGCGGCUGAGAGAGGCAUGCGUUCUCCUGUGAAGAGUGCAUAAAUUGUUUUUAUUGGCUUGAUAUUUAUUUAUACCAGCUAAUUUGCAUGUCUUACAAUUAAUACUAAUCUUUAGGCACAGGACCAAGACCACGUGGAUUGCAUCAUCUGGUAUAUCUCAAUGGAUUAUGCUUUUAUUUUUUCCAUGUUACUUGGUGUUACGUUUUGUUUCUUGCCUGACCACCAUUUUUAGUUAGUGUAACUGACAACAGCCGUGGGGUAUGCAGUUCCUAAAACCUAUGAAAGACUUCCUGAAUGUUCAGUUUUGUGCUGCUGCACGGUGUUGAACACCCUGAACAUGGCGAUUUCAGGGCCUAUAGGAUGGUAGAUGUCUGGGCCCAUGGCUGCGAGCUCGGCCAUAUAGGCCUUUGAAAACUGACGACGACACCUCUCUUCGGGCAGAAUGUUAUUGACGAGCACAAUGUCGCGACAAUUUUCAGAGUCAUAGACCCGCUGGGAAUUAGUGUUUGUGUUUUUUUUGUGAUGUCUGAACUUUAGCGGACAAUGUUCACUCACACAUGGCACAUGUGCUAAACUAGACGGCUGUUCGUUGGAAAGUUAUAUGAAAUCCGAAGGAAUCCAGCCUUCAAGUGUAUCACUCAUUAUAUCUCUACUCUGUUCUUCUUUACUCUGCUUUUCAGGAAGAAGGUGGAUUGGUGGCCAUUUCCUGUAUGAAAGGGGAUGGCAACGACUGUUCCUUGGUUGAAGGAUGCAAUGCAUCUCGCUGAAUUUCAAGCUGUACGAUUUUGGGUCUGCCUAGAUACCUAUGCAAGGGAGAAGAAAUCUGCAAGUUGGGUAGAAAGCUAGGCAUGAUUCUCAAUAGUAGUUUACAUACAUGCCUAAAUGUGUUGGAGAUGCAUUGCACUGUGUUUCAUAGGCCGCCGUGACUGUGAAGGGUAACUAAAAGAAAUCCAUCAUCACAUCAAGUUUUUGGAAUUCCUUCGAUCAAAAACAGAUCAAGAUGCAUCUGGUUAAAUUUCAGGGAUCGAAAUCGAUACAGAUACAAAAUGGCUCAAUGAAAGUUGUAGUAUCUGCAUACUCUUUGUUGGUAUAUAAAUCCUGGCUCCCCUAAUACUUUAUUCCCAUGUAAAAUAGCUAAUUCAUGCAUUACUUUGGAGUGCACACGUCAGUUAAGAAAGGAGACUGCAAGUUAUAUAUAGUGAUCCGUAUUGCUUACAUCUAAUAUACAAUCUAUACAUGAUGGUUUCGAAUUAUGUGCUCAUGGUUGUACAAUCGUCUUUCAACUGAAUUACAGCCAAAGUGUUCAUCUUGGCUACUUCUGAACUUCUACACAAAUUAAAUGGUGGAGUAUGGCCACUACCACCUACAUGGUAAAAUGUGGUAGCCUUAAAUUGUCUUCGGUUUAGUCUCUUCUGUUUUCUUGUGUUCUACAUAAGUCUAUGAGCCUUAUGUCUCAAUAAAAUAAAAUGUGCGAGAA